GCUGGGCAUGGUGGUGGGUGCCUGUAAUCCCAGCUACUCGGGAGGCUGAGGCAGGAGAAUCGCUUGAACCCAGGAGGUGGAGGUUGCAGUGAGCCGAGAUCACGCCACUGCACUCCAGCCUGGGUAACAGAGCGAUACCCCGUCUCAA
rnacentral:SRP_RNA from 1 species